rnacentral:rRNA from 1 species
UACAGGGGGUGCAAACGUUGCUCGGAAUCAUUGGGCGUAAAGCACACGUAGGCGGUUCGUUAUGUCGGAUGUGAAAGCCCUUGGCUUAACCGAGGAAGUGCAUCCGAAACUGGCGAGCUAGAGUACGAAAGAGGAUCGCGGAAUUCCCGGUGUAGAGGUGAAAUUCGUAGAUAUCGGGAGGAACACCGGUGGCGAAGGCGGCGAUCUGGGUCGAUACUGACGCUGAGGUGCGAAAGCGUGGGGAGCAAACAGGG